GAUGAACGCUGGCGGCGUGCCUAAUACAUGCAAGUCGAGCGAACAGACGAGGAGCUUGCUCCUCUGACGUUAGCGGCGGACGGGUGAGUAACACGUGGAUAACCUACCUAUAAGACUGGGAUAACUUCGGGAAACCGGAGCUAAUACCGGAUAAUAUAUUGAACCGCAUGGUUCAAUUGUGAAAGACGGUUUUGCUGUCACUUAUAGAUGGAUCCGCGCCGCAUUAGCUAGUUGGUAAGGUAACGGCUUACCAAGGCAACGAUGCGUAGCCGACCUGAGAGGGUGAUCGGCCACACUGGAACUGAGACACGGUCCAGACUCCUACGGGAGGCAGCAGUAGGGAAUCUUCCGCAAUGGGCGAAAGCCUGACGGGGCAACGCCGCGUGAGUGAUGAAGGUCUUCGGAUCGUAAAACUCUGUUAUUAGGGAAGAACAAAUGUGUAAGUAACUAUGCACGUCUUGACGGUACCUAAUCAGAAAGCCACGGCUAACUACGUG
rnacentral:rRNA from 1 species